rnacentral:pre_miRNA from 1 species
UAAAAACAGGCAGUGUAAAUAUGUUAUGUGUAUUUACAGUGAAUGUUUUA